rnacentral:lncRNA from 1 species
CAUGAACCUCUACAUUUGGCAAGAGUCUGCAUGUAUAGUAGGGAUGGGGACUUAGAUGAUCUUCAGGAAGCUAUGAGCCCACUGAAUCAUAUAUAAAAUUUUAUGUCUUUGUCUGAGAGAGGGUUACUAGUUUUCAUCAGAGCCUCAAAGUGGUUUGUGACCAGAAAAGGUACAGGUGUCAGGUUGUGGGUUAAAGAAUGUAUAUUGGCAAGCUGGGCCUCAAAGCAGGGAGCCACAGAUGCUGUGGGAGAUAAGCAUGGCAGAGGAAUCUAAAAUCAGAUACCAUGCUCAUUUAGGAAGACCCCCAAAUACACAGUGAAAGAUGGCACCUGCAGGUCUCAAUUUUCCAUAUCAGAUUUUCUUGAUGAGAGCCAGGUGUCAAUUCCAAUUUGACUCAACUGUUGGUGCCUAUCAUUUACCUGCUCAGCCACUGUUUCAGACUGCAUAAUUGGCCAUCAGGCUUCUGGAAAGCUGUGUUCUAUUCAUUGCCUAUUCUGUUCAGGUAGUCACUGGGUACAUGCUUUGGGGUUUAUAUUUUGUCCCUGGUGAGUGGAGCUUGCUCUCUCUCCUGCUUUCUUGUUGCUAUGUCCUGACCUGCUUUCCUGGGGCACACUCUUUUACCAUGAUUUUCUGCCUCACCGUGGCUCAGAGCAAAGUAAUUGGCCUUCUGUGGACUGAAAUCUCUGAAAUUGAGACAAAAAACUUUUCCUCUUCUAAUUGUUCUUUUAAAGGCUUUCAGAGAUGAAAAAAAAUGAUUAAAACACCAUUUUACUGCUAGGCUAGUGAAGUGUAGGUAAAAAGUGGGGGGUUUUGAUGCUUGUGUUGACCUCUUAGCUCGACCACUUACUUAGUGUGAACCUAAGCCAUUUCCUAAGGCUUGGUUUUAUUUCUAUAAAAUCAAGACAAUUGCUGGGCAUGGUGACACAUGCCUAUAACCCCAGCAACUAGAGGCUAAGGCAGGAGGGUCACAAGUUCAAAACCAGCCUCAGCAACUUAAUAGUGAGAUCUCUGUCUCAAAAAAUAAUUUAAAAAGGGGGGCUAGGGAUGUAGCUCGGUGGUUAAGCACUCCUGGGUUUAUUCUCCAGUACUCAAAUAAAAAGUCAUGACAAAGAGAAUCUGCCAUAUUCAGUUGCCAAAAGAAGUAAUAUGAAAAAGUGUGUCGGGGGGGUAUCCAGCACAUGUAAGUGCUCCAUAAUAGGGAGCUGAAAGUGUUGAUGUAUUAUAACUUUUAUGUGGAGAAACAGGCUCACUUGCCUAAAGAGUACAAUGAAAGCACCUAUCUGUCCAGCAUAAAAAUCCUAUACUUGGGCUGAAGUUGUAGCUCAGUGCAAGAACAUGUGCUCAGCAAUGUACAAGGCCCUGCGUUCAAUCUUCAGGACAAAUAAAUGACUAA